AACGAACGCUGGCGGCAGGCCUAACACACGCAAGUCGAACGCUGCAGCAAUGCAGAGUGGCAGACGGGUGAGUAACGCGUGGGAACCUUCCCAGUGGUACGGAAUAGCCCAGGGAAACUUGGGGUAAUACCGUAUAAGCCCCUAGGGGGAAAGAUUUAUCGCCAUUGGAUGGGCCCGCGUCGAAUUAGCUAGUUGGUGAGGUAAUGGCUCACCAAGGCGACGAUCCGUAGCUGGUCUGAGAGGAUGAUCAGCCACACUAGGACUGAGACACGGCCCAGACUCCUACGGGAGGCAGCAGUGGGGAAUAUUGGACAAUGGGCGCAAGCCUGAUCCAGCCAUGCCGCGUGAGUGACGAAGGCCUUAGGGUUGUAAAGCUCUUUUGGCGGGGACGAUAAUGACGGUACCCGCAGAGUAAGCUCCGGCUAACUUCGUGCCAGCAGCCGCAGUAA
rnacentral:rRNA from 1 species